GACGAACGCUGGCGGCGUGCCUAAUACAUGCAAGUCGAGCGCAGGAAGCUGACGGAACUCUUCGGAGAGAAGGCAGUGGAAUGAGCGGCGGACGGGUGAGUAACACGUAAGGAACCUGCCUCAAGGAUUGGGAUAACUCCGAGAAAUCGGAGCUAAUACCGGAUAGUUCAACGGACCGCAUGGUCCGCUGAUGAAAGGCGCUUCGGCGUCACCUUGAGAUGGCCUUGCGGUGCAUUAGCUAGUUGGUGGGGUAACGGCCCACCAAGGCGACGAUGCAUAGCCGACCUGAGAGGGUGAUCGGCCACACUGGGACGGAGCCACGGCCCAGACUCCUACGGGAGGCAGCAGUAGGGAAUCUUCCACAAUGGACGAAAGUCUGAUGGAGCAACGCCGCGUGAGUGAUGAAGGUUUUCGGAUCGUAAAACUCUGUUGUAAGGGAAGAACACGUACGAGAGGGAAUGCUCGUACCUUGACGGUACCUUACGAGAAAGCCACGGCUAACUACGUGCCAGCCGCCGCCGUAA
rnacentral:rRNA from 1 species